rnacentral:rRNA from 1 species
AUAAGGGCGCACGGUGGAUGCCUUGGCACUAGGAGCCGAUGAAGGACGGGACUAACACCGAUAUGCUUUGGGGAGCUGUACGUAAGCUAUGAUCCAGAGAUUUCCGAAUGGGGGAACCCAACAUCUUUAAUAGGAUGUUACGAUUGUGUGAAUACAUAGCACAUUCGAGGUAGACGCAGAGAACUGAAACAUCUAAGUACCUGCAGGAAGAGAAAGAAAAUUCGAUUCCCUGAGUAGCGGCGAGCGAAACGGGAAAAGCCCAAACCAGCAAGCUUGCUUGUUGGGGUUGUAGGACUCCAAUAUGGUAGUUCUUUCAGAUAGUCGAAUGACUUGGAAAAGUCAGUCAAAGAGGGUAAAAACCCCGUAGACGAAAUGUGGAAGACACCUAGGAGGAUCCUGAGUACGGCGGAACACGAGAAAUUCCGUCGGAAUCCGGGAGGACCAUCUCCCAAGGCUAAAUACUCCCUAGUGACCGAUAGUGAACCAGUACCGUGAGGGAAAGGUGAAAAGCACCCCGGAAGGGGAGUGAAAUAGAACCUGAAACCGUGUGCCUACAACAAGUCAAAGCCCGUUAAUGGGUGAUGGCGUGCCUUUUGUAGAAUGAACCGGCGAGUUACGAUUGCAUGCGAGGUUAAGUUGAAGAGACGGAGCCGCAGCGAAAGCGAGUCUGAAUAGGGCGUUUGAGUAUGUAGUCGUAGACCCGAAACCAUGUGAUCUACCCAUGUCCAGGUUGAAGGUGCGGUAAAACGCACUGGAGGACCGAACCCACGUACGUUGAAAAGUGCGGGGAUGAGGUGUGGGUAGCGGAGAAAUUCCAAACGAACUUGGAGAUAGCUGGUUCUCUCCGAAAUAGCUUUAGGGCUAGCCUCGGAAUUGAGAAUGAUGGAGGUAGAGCACUGUUUGGACUAGGGGCCCAUCUCGGGUUACCGAAUUCAGAUAAACUCCGAAUGCCAUUCAUUCAUAUCCGGGAGUCAGACUGUGAGUGAUAAGAUCCAUAGUCGAAAGGGAAACAGCCCAGACCACCAGCUAAGGUCCCAAAAUAUAUGUUAAGUGGAAAAGGAUGUGGGGUUGCACAGACAACUAGGAUGUUGGCUUAGAAGCAGCCACCAUUUAAAGAGUGCGUAAUAGCUCACUAGUCGAGUGACCCUGCGCCGAAAAUGUACCGGGGCUAAACAUAUUACCGAAGCUGUGGAGUACACCUUUAGGUGUAUUGGUAGGAGAGCGUUCUAAGGGCGUUGAAGGCAGAUCGUGAGGACUGCUGGAGCGCUUAGAAGUGAGAAUGCCGGUAUGAGUAGCGAAAGACAGGUGAGAAUCCUGUCCACCGAAUGACUAAGGUUUCCUGGGGAAGGCUCGUCCGCCCAGGGUUAGUCGGGACCUAAGCCGAGGCCGACAGGCGUAGGCGAUGGAUAACAGGUUGAUAUUCCUGUACCCGUUGUUUUUGUUUGAGCAAUGGAGGGACGCAGGAGGCUAAGGAAUGCAGACGAUCGGAAAUGUCUGUCCAAGCAGUAAGUCUGAAGAGGAGUCAAAUGCUUCUUUUCUUAAGGACAAGCUGUGAUGGGGAGGGAAAUAAUAGUACCGAAGUUCCU